rnacentral:rRNA from 1 species
UUUCAGAGAUGAGAAUGUGCCUUCGGGAACCGUGAGACAGGUGCUGCAUGGCUGUCGUCAGCUCGUGUUGUGAAAUGUUGGGUUAAGUCCCGCAACGAGCGCAACCCUUAUCCUUUGUUGCCAGCGGUCCGGCCGGGAACUCAAAGGAGACUGCCAGUGAUAAACUGGAGGAAGGUGGGGAUGACGUCAAGUCAUCAUGGCCCUUACGACCAGGGCUACACACGUGCUACAAUGGCGCAUACAAAGAGAAGCGACCUCGCGAGAGCAAGCGGACCUCAUAAAGUGCGUCGUAGUCCGGAUUGGAGUCUGCAACUCGACUCCAUGAAGUCGGAAUCGCUAGUAAUCGUGGAUCAGAAUGCCACGGUGAAUACGUUCCCGGGCCUUGUACACACCGCCCGUCACACCAUGGGAGUGGGUUGCAAAAGAAGUAGGUAGCUUAACCUUCGGGAGGGCGCUUACCACUUUGUGAUUCAUGACUGGGGUGAAGUCGUAACAAGGUAACCGUAGGGGAACCUGCGGUUGGA